CUGCUCCUUCUGAGCAUGCGCACAACAAGAGCCAUCCCAUGAUUCUCUCUGAAACCUGCUGAAGAAGCUCAGAGUUGAGAGCUAAGAAACGAGCUAUCCGUCAUGUCGGAAAAGAAGCAGACCGUGGAUUUGGGCUUGUUAGAGGAGGAUGAUGAAUUUGAGGAAUUUCCAGCCGAAGAUUGGACAGGACUGGAUGAAGAUGAAGAUGCCCAUGUGUGGGAAGAUAACUGGGAUGAUGACAACGUAGAGGAUGACUUUUCCAAUCAACUGAGAGCUGAGCUUGAAAAACAUGGAUACAAGAUGGAGACUUCGUAACACUGAACAUCCUGAGCUGAGGAUUGUUUGUUUUAUCACAUUUGAAUGCUGUCAGAUCCGACUGCCCGUUUACAAAUGUGAAUUUGCUUAUUUCUUCAGCAAGACGCCAGGAAUUCUGACAUUUGCCAGGAAUGGAAUGGAAAUAGUUGCAUGUGUGCAUGUGUGAGAGAGCGAGAGUGUGUGCGGGUGUUACGUGUUGUUUUGUUUUGUCCUUUCUUGUGUUCUCCACAAACCAUUUGUAUUGUGUUAGUUGUGAUAAUAAAGCAAUUCUCUACCUGUCAA